CUUCGCCCAGCCGCCACAGUGACUUUCGAUUGAGUCUGCUACAGGAGGAUUAUUGUUGUGGUUAACCUACUUUUCUUCUUCGCAGGUCGUUUAUUAAUAUUUGUAUAAUUCUAUUAACUCCUAGAAUUUUCGCAUGUGUUGGAAAUAUUUAUUUUUUUUGGGGACUGUAAUAUAAUUGUGAUGUUGGGCCUGUAAACUUAUUAUUAUAUGCA
rnacentral:misc_RNA from 1 species